rnacentral:rRNA from 1 species
ACGAACGCUGGCGGCGUGCCUAACACAUGCAAGUCGAACGGAACUUCUUUAAAGGAUUUCUUCGGAAUGAAUUUGAUUAAGUUUAGUGGCGGACGGGUGAGUAACGCGUGAGUAACCUGCCUCUAAGAGGGGAAUAACAUUCUGAAAAGAAUGCUAAUACCGCAUAAUAUAUAUUUAUCGCAUGGUAGAUAUAUCAAAGAUUUAUCGCUUAGAGAUGGACUCGCGUCCGAUUAGUUAGUUGGUGAGGUAACGGCUCACCAAGACCGCGAUCGGUAGCCGGACUGAGAGGUUGAACGGCCACAUUGGGACUGAGACACGGCCCAGACUCCUACGGGAGGCAGCAGUGGGGGAUAUUGCGCAAUGGGGGAAACCCUGACGCAGCAACGCCGCGUGAAGGAUGAAGGUCUUCGGAUUGUAAACUUCUUUUAUUAAGGACGAAGAAAGUGACGGUACUUAAUGAAUAAGCUCCGGCUAACUACGUGCCAGCAGCCGCGGUAAUACGUAGGGAGCAAGCGUUGUCCGGAUUUACUGGGUGUAAAGGGUGCGUAGGCGGCUUUGCAAGUCAGAUGUGAAAUCUAUGGGCUCAACCCAUAGCCUGCAUUUGAAACUGCAGAGCUUGAGUGAAGUAGAGGCAGGCGGAAUUCCCCGUGUAGCGGUGAAAUGCGUAGAGAUGGGGAGGAACACCAGUGGCGAAGGCGGCCUGCUGGGCUUUAACUGACGCUGAGGCACGAAAGCGUGGGUAGCAAACAGGAUUAGAUACCCUGGUAGUCCACACAGUAAACGAUGAAUACUCGCUGUUUGCGAUAUACAGUAAGCGGCCAAGCGAAAGCGUUAAGUAUUCCACCUGGGGAGUACGCCGGCAACGGUGAAACUCAAAGGAAUUGACGGGGGCCCGCACAAGCAGUGGAGUAUGUGGUUUAAUUCGAAGCAACGCGAAGAACCUUACCAGGUCUUGACAUCCUACUAACGAGAUAGAGAUAUGUUAGGUGCCCUUCGGGGAAAGUAGAGACAGGUGGUGCAUGGUUGUCGUCAGCUCGUGUCGUGAGAUGUUGGGUUAAGUCCCGCAACGAGCGCAACCCUUGCUAUUAGUUGCUACGCAAGAGCACUCUAAUAGGACUGCCGUUGACAAAACGGAGGAAGGUGGGGACGACGUCAAAUCAUCAUGCCCCUUAUGACCUGGGCUACACACGUACUACAAUGGACAUAAACAGAGGGAAGCAAUACAGUGAUGUGGAGCAAACCCCUAAAAAUGUUCUCAGUUCAGAUUGCAGGCUGCAACCCGCCUGUAUGAAGAUGGAAUUGCUAGUAAUCGCAGAUCAGCAUGCUGCGGUGAAUACGUUCCCGGGCCUUGUACACACCGCCCGUCACACCAUGGGAGCCGGUAAUACCCGAAGUCAGUAGUCUAACCGCAAGGAGGACGCUGCCGAAGGUAGGAUUGGCGACUGGGGUG